UAACACAUGCAAGUCGAACGGUGAACACGGAGCUUGCUCUGUGGGAUCAGUGGCGAACGGGUGAGUAACACGUGAGCAACCUGCCCCUGACUCUGGGAUAAGCGCUGGAAACGGCGUCUAAUACUGGAUAUGUGACGUGACCGCAUGGUCUGCGUCUGGAAAGAAUUUCGGUUGGGGAUGGGCUCGCGGCCUAUCAGCUUGUUGGUGAGGUAAUGGCUCACCAAGGCGUCGACGGGUAGCCGGCCUGAGAGGGUGACCGGCCACACUGGGACUGAGACACGGCCCAGACUCCUACGGGAGGCAGCAGUGGGGAAUAUUGCACAAUGGGCGCAAGCCUGAUGCAGCAACGCCGCGUGAGGGAUGACGGCCUUCGGGUUGUAAACCUCUUUUAGCAGGGAAGAAGCGAAAGUGACGGUACCUGCAGAAAAAGCGCCGGCUAACUACGUGCCAGCAGCCGCGGUAAUACGUAGGGCGCAAGCGUUAUCCGGAAUUAUU
rnacentral:rRNA from 1 species